rnacentral:rRNA from 1 species
UACAGAGGUCUCAAGCGUUGUUCGGAUUCAUUGGGCGUAAAGGGUGCGUAGGUGGCGCCGUAAGUGGGGUGUGAAAUUUCGGAGCUUAACUCCGAAACUGCAUCGAUACUGCCGUGCUUGAGGACUGGAGAGGAGACUGGAAUUUACGGUGUAGCGGUGAAAUGCGUAGAUAUCGUAAGGAAGACCAGUGGCGAAGGCGGGUCUCUGGACAGUUCCUGACGCUGAGGCACGAAGGCCAGGGGAGCAAACGGG